rfam:Pan troglodytes isolate Yerkes chimp pedigree #C0471 (Clint) chromosome 10, whole genome shotgun sequence.
GCCAGGUGUGGUGGCGCAUGCCUGUAAUCCCAGCUACUGGGGAGGCUGAGGCAGGAGAAUUGCUUGAACCCUGGGGGCAGAGGUUGCAGUGAGCCGAGAUCGCACCACUGCACUCCAGCCUGGGUGACACAGCGAGAUUCUGUCUCAU